rnacentral:rRNA from 1 species
AUUGAACGCGGGCGGCAUGCUUUACACAUGCAAGUCGGACGGCAGCGGGGGUGCUUGCACCUGCCGGCGAGUGGCGAACGGGUGAGUAACAUAUUGGAAUGUACCGAGUAGUGGGGGAUAACCAAUCGAAAGAUUGGCUAAUACCGCAUACGUCCUGAGGGGGAAAGCAGGGGAUCUUCGGACCUUGCGCUAUUUGAGCAGCCAAUAUCUGAUUAGCUAGUUGGUGGGGUAAAGGCCCACCAAGGCGACGAUCAGUAGCGGGUCUGAGAGGAUGAUCCGCCACACUGGGACUGAGACACGGCCCAGACUCCUACGGGAGGCAGCAGUGGGGAAUUUUGGACAAUGGGGGCAACCCUGAUCCAGCCAUGCCGCGUGUCUGAAGAAGGCCUUCGGGUUGUAAAGGACUUUUGUUAGGGAAGAAAAGGGAAGUGCUAAUACCACUUUUUGCUGACGGUACCUAAAGAAUAAGCACCGGCUAACUACGUGCCAGCAGCCGCGGUAAUACGUAGGGUGCGAGCGUUAAUCGGAAUUACUGGGCGUAAAGCGAGCGCAGACGGUUACUUAAGCAGGAUGUGAAAUCCCCGGGCUCAACCUGGGAACUGCGUUCUGAACUGGGUAGCUAGAGUAUGUCAGAGGGGGGUAGAAUUCCACGUGUAGCAGUGAAAUGCGUAGAGAUGUGGAGGAAUACCGAUGGCGAAGGCAGCCCCCUGGGAUAAUACUGACGUUCAUGCUCGAAAGCGUGGGUAGCAAACAGG